UUCGGAAGGGGCUAUCGUUGUUCGGAAUUACUGGGCGUAAAGAGCGCGUAGGCGGGUUACCAAGUUGGGGGUGAAAUCCCGGAGCUCAACUCCGGAACUGCCUUCAAAACUGGUAGGCUCGAGUUCGGAAGAGGGGCGUGUAAUUCCCAGUGUAGAGGUGAAAUUCGUAGAUAUGGGGAAGAACACCGGUGGCGAAGGGGGCGCCCUGGUCCGGUACUCACGCUGAGGCGCGAAAGCGUGGGGAGCAAACAGG
rnacentral:rRNA from 1 species